GGAGAAACCAAAAAAAAUUCCUGUGACUUGCUUCACUGCAGUGGUCGGGAACCGGAACCCAGAAUAUCUGCAAGUUUCCCAAAGAUCCGCCCCUGGGCCUGAGAGAGCAAGACACGUCAACCUGCUUUAGCAGCACUGCUACAGGAACCAGUGAAACAUGGCAGUUGAACCUGGCAAGCUCAAAACCUCCUAACUCUCACUCUGUGACUCUGACGUCUUUUGUAACAGAACUCAAGAUGGAACAACCGAACAUUUUUUUGUUAGAUCCUCUACAUAUUUUUUUCCCUGCAUACCCUGCCUUAUUUCAAAUACCUUUAAGGUAGAUUUAAAAAUAAAUACAAUGUAGCAUAAUUAAAGUUAAAUUUAUUUAUUUAUUUGGCCACACCACGUGGCUUAUGGGAUUUUACUUCCCUAAUCAGGGAACUUGUGCCCCCUGCAAUGGAAGCGUGGAGUCCUAACCACUGGACCACCAGGGAAUUCCCAUAAAGUUACUUUUAAAUGAGCUAAAAGUACAUCAGGCACUUAGGGAUGAGCCAGGAGUGAGAUAAGUACACAAAUGCACCUCAUAAAGUCCUACACACCACCCAGAGACCCCAUUCCUGAGACCGAGCUGUUCAGCGUGAACAUGAUUCACCACUGACGGGGCGUGUCUGAAGUUAUCAUCUCUGAACCACUGUGUCUCAGUCUUGGCUCCCGCAAGAAGACCUCCACCUCCACAGGGUUUUCCUUUUCUCUCAGUACAUGUCCUAAGCCAGGCUGCACCUGCAGGCCUCGGGGUGCUGUGUCACUGUCCCAACUUUACCGUGAAGACAGACCCAAGGCCUGCGCUGACCUUGCCCACUCUGAAAGGAGAGACUCUUCUAUGAGACCUUCAAAGAAGAUCUGGCCCGACUACUUAGUGGCACGAGGAUGAACGUGAGACACAGGUCACCGACCAGUGAGCUUCUUGGGGGUCUUCCCUUUGCUGCGGGCAGACCACCUGCCAGCCUUCAACUGCAGGGCAGCAGCCUCAGCCAAAAAACAGAUGUGUCCAGGGGACUGAGACCCUCCAGCAGGCCACAUACAGACUGGCCCAUAAGAUCCCUGGCGGGAAACCUCAUCUCUACUUCUACAUCCAUAGGUGGCAUUAAAUCUGCUCCUUAUUUCCAAGAGUAAAUGAGAGUGACAGGAGCAUGGACACGGUGGUUCCCAGCUCUUAUCCACCCAAAUCAAGAAGGGCUGAAAGGCUAAUUCAUAAUUCACGUUGACCCAAUCAGUUCUCACAGUUGCCCUGCUCCGAUCCUGAAAGAAAGCCCCCCAUCUCUCCACUACCUGGU